GAUGAAGAACGUAGCGAAAUGCGAUAAGUAAUGUGAAUUGCAGAAUUCAGUGAAUCAUCGAAUCUUUGAACGCACCUUGCACUCCUUGGUAUUCCGAGGAGUACGCCUGUUCGAGUGUUAUGAAGCUCUCAAAACGCAAUUGGCUUAAAACCUGAUUGUUGUUUUGGAUUUGAACUUUGCCGUGUUAUAACGGCUGGUUUUAAAAGUAUUAGCUGGUACUAGAACGAAUUGGUUCUACUCAACGUGAUAAUUAUCUGAUCGUUGAGGACAUACCUUUCACGAGGAAUGGCCAUAGUAAAUUCAAUGGACUGCUUCUAAUCUGGCUUUAAUUCUUUAUUGGAUUAACCACUUUUCAAAUCUGACCUCGAAUCAGGUGGGACUACCCGCUGAACUUAAGCAUAUCAAAAGCGGAGGA
rnacentral:misc_RNA from 1 species